GCGAGAAUAUUGGGCAAUGGGCGAAAGCCUGACCCAGCGACACCGCGUGCUCGAAGAAGCCCUUCGGGGUGUAAAGAGCUUUUAUGGAGGAAGAAUCCCACUUUUAGUGGGAUGACGGUACUCCAGGAAUAAGAGGAUGCUAAUCACGUGCCAGCAGCCGCGGUAAAACGUGAUCCUCGAGCGUUAUCCGGAUUUAUUGGGCGUAAAGCGUCUGUAGGCGGCAUAGUAAGUUUGGUGUUAAAGACCUCGGGCUUAACCUGGGGAAUGCAUCAAAAACUGCUAAGCUAGAGGGCAUUAGGGGCUGAUGGAAUGGUCGGUGUAGGG
rnacentral:rRNA from 1 species